rnacentral:rRNA from 1 species
AUUGAACGCUGGCGGCACGCCUAACACAUGCAAGUCGAACGGUAACAGGUUCUAGUUUACUAGAAUGCUGACGAGUGGCGGACGGGUGAGUAACGCAUAGCAAGCUACCUAUCAGCGGGGGAUAGUGCGGGGGAAACUCGUAGUAAUACCGCAUACGCUCCACGGAGGAAAGUCUGUUUACAGGCACUGAUAGAGGCGGCUAUGUCCGAUUAGCUAGUUGGUAGAGUAAUGGUUUACCAAGGCGACGAUCGGUAGCUGAUUUUAGCGAAUGAACAGCCACACUGGGACUGAGACACGGCCCAG